CUGAAGCUGCCCUCGGGUGCUUGAUCUGCAGGCUGCAUAUGGGAUUCACCUGCUGGAGAAGAGAGAAAAGACUGUGAGCAGGAAUCACAGCAGCGCAGGAGGGAAUUUCUUUCCAAAGACAGUUUGUUGCUUUUCCUCGCUCUGGAAUUUCCUCCUGGAGUUGCUGAACCGGGUGUUUUUUUCCUCAGCCCUUGCGGAGAAGAACUUGCGCGGGUAAGUGGGCACUUUUCGGUCUUUUAUCAAGGCUGAGGAUAGGAGAGUCUUUGCCCUUCUCCUUCCCCAGGGCUGGCUGCAACCCCAAACCGAGGCGGAAAUAAGUAUCUGCGCCAGAGAACUUGCAAACUUAACUGUUGACAGUGGGCAUUCCGGGGUCUGUUUCAUCGCCAGGGAAUGAGAUCUCUCCCCCUGCCCCGCUGGCUGCAGUUCUAACAUUGCAUUAAUUUCAUAGAUAGGCACGGGAAAAUAAGCCCACAUAGCGCCCCCCCCACAAAGCAGGGAACAGGUCUCUGCCCCAGAAAGCUUACAAAUUAAAUGUGGACAGUGGGCGCUUUUCGGUCUGUUGCAUUGCUAGGGAAUGAGAUUCUCUCCCCCCCCCCCCGCAACCUGCAAUAUUUGUUGAAGUUAUGUUGCAUUAAUGCACCCUUUUCUCCAAAGAGGUUAAGGGGGCAUAAAUGGUUCUUCUCCCCAUUUUAUGCUCACGCAACAACCCUGAGAGGUAGGUCAGGCUGAGAGGCAGUGACUGGCCCAAGCUUCAGGGCUGAGUGGGGGGUUUGAACCCUGGUUCCCAGGUACUACUCUAUGACACUCUAACCAUUGCAUCACACUGCCUCUCUUGCUGUUCUAAGAUAGUAUCACUUUCUCUGCCAUCACCGAUAUAAAUAGUGGUCUAUUGGGCAAAUUCCUCUUCCUUGUGGAUCGCUCACAGCUGAGUAGAAUUGUUUUCCAUGAACACGGUUGUAACAGUGAGUCUGUAAGUGACUGUGGAGCCAAUUCUGGAUCCACACAUCCUUCCACAGUGGAGACAUUGGUUUCCAGGUGGGAGUAGAUCACGGUGUGGAUUUGCCAAGCGUGCCUUCCUCUUGGCACGUUUCUCCCUUGCGUCCUGAGUUCGAGUGUCUUCAAAGCCCAGGACACCUUUGGUCAAGGCUGUUCUCCAACUGGAGCGCUCGCAGGCCAGUGUUUCCCAGUUGUCAGUGUUUAUACUACAUUUUUUAAAGAUUUGCCUUGAGAGAGUCUUUAAAACUCUUUUGUUGACCACCAGCAUUACGCUUACCAUUUUAAAGUUGGGAAUAGAGUAGUUGCUUUGGAAGCCGAUCAUCAGGCAUCCACACAACAUGACCAGUCCAACGAAGUUGAUGUUGAAGAAUCAUUGCUUCAAUACUCGUGAUCUUUGCUUCUUCCAGUACACUGGUAUUGGUUCGCCUGUCUUCCCAAGUGAUGUAAAAAAAUUUGGAGACGCCGUUGAUGGAAUCUUUCGAGGAGUUGGAGAUAAACACACACACAUACCCCAAAAGUGGGGGAACAAGUCUCCCCCACUGCUCCACAGAAGCUACAAGCAGAAUUUUGACAGGGGUGGGAAGCAAAGUGAAUCUUCCCUUGCUUGUGAAUUUUAUUCUAGCUUGACCAUUCUUGCAUCACAGCACAAUCCUAUGUGCGUUUAAGGUAAAGGUAAAGGGACCCCUGACCGUUAGGUCCAGUCUUGGCCAAGUCUGGGGUUGCAGUGCUCAUCUCGCUAUACUGGCCGAGGGAGCCGGUGUACAGCUUCUGGGUCAUGUGGCCAGCAUGGCGAACCAGAGCAGCGCACGGAAACGCCGUUUACCUUCCCGCUGGAGCGGUACCUAUUUAUCUACUUGCACUUUUAUGUGCUUUCGAACUGCUAGGUUGGCAGGAGCAGGGACAGAGCAACGGGAGCUCACCCCGUCGCGGGGAUUCGAACCGCCAACCUUCUGAUCAGCAAGUCCUAGGCUCUGUGGUUUAGACCACAGCGCCACCCACAUCCCUAGCUUUACACAGAAGCAAAUUCAUUUAGUUUGGCGGGGCUUGCUCCCAAGUAAGUGUGCACAGGAUUGCAACCUCAGUCUGAGUUUGUUUUCUGUGCCGCUGGGUGGAUCAGAGGCUGACCUCUCCUCCAGUUCUUACUUAUUUCCCUUCCUUACCUCCCCCUCCCCUUUUUCUGAAGAUUACCAGCUCUGGAAUCCCACAACUAAUUCUCCCCUGGUCUCCUUGCUGGCCCAAUAGGACUAACUUAGCCAGCUAGCCCUGGUGAUCAUCUAAUGUUUAUUGGACGGAUUUCCCCCCCCACAAAAAAAGAUUUUUGAAUUCUGAAUUUAUUGUUAUUGAUACUGUAUUUUAUGCUGUUUUUUGUUGCAUCAAUUAAGUGUUUUAAAUUUGUUGUUAGCCGCCCUGAGCCCAGUUUUCUGAACCAGGAAGGGCAGGGUAUAUAAAAAAAAUUAUUAUAUUAUUAUUAGCCCUCCUGGCAGUUCAGCAAAACCUCCCCUGGAGGACUUCAGCCUGGGUGCUGCUCCAGGGUUCACCCAGUCCCCAAGACACACCUGUCAGCCCCAUCCUUGCCCCCUUGUCUCCCUGAUGUGGCUUGGAAGUGGAUGUCUGAAAAUGCUCAACCUUGGGAGAUUUAGGGCAGAGAGUUAAACUAUGGAACUCCCUCCCACUAGAGACAGUGAUAUCCAACAGCUUGUAGGACUUUGAAGGAAGAGUGGACCAGUUCAUGGAGGCUAUUGAUGGUCGCAGAGACAUCACCUUGCCAAAAAAGGUCCGUAUAGUUCAAGCUAUGGUUUUCCCAGUCGUGAUGUAUGGAAGUGAAAGCUGGACCAUAAAGAAGGCUGAUCGCUGAAGAAUGGAUGCUUUUGAAUUCUGGUGCUGGAGGAGCCUCUUGAGAGUUCCAUGGACUGCAAGAAGAUCAAACCUCUCCAUUCUGAAGGAAAUCAUUCCUGAGUGCUCACUGGAAGGACAGAUCCUGAAGCUGAGGCUCCAAGACUUUGGCCACCUUAUGAGAAGAGAAGACUCCCUGGAAAAGACCCUGAUGUUGGGAAAGAUGGAGGGCACAAGGAGAAGGGGACGACAGAGGAUGAGAUGGUGGGACAGUGUUCUCGAAGCUACCAGCAUGAGUUUGACCAAACUGCGGGAGGCAGUGGAAGACAGGAGGGCCUGGUGUGCUCUGGUCCAGGGGGUCACCAAGAGGAGGACAUGACUAAACGAUUAAACAACAACAAUUGAUGGUUGCUAGCCAGGACUUCUCUGUUCUGCCUCCACAGUCGAGGCAGCCCUGCUUCUGAAUCCCAGCUGCUGGAAACCCCAGGAAGGGAGAGUUGCUAAUUGUGCUGGCAUCCUUCUUGUGGGUUUCCCAGAAGAGCCUUCUGGGUGGCAGCAGGAUCCUGGAGUGGUGCUGAGAACACCAACAUUGCAGGUUCGAUCCCCAGAUGGGACAGGUGCUUCUUCCCACAUUGUGCGCGGGGGGGAGGGGUUGAACUAGAUGACUCUGGAGGUCCCUUCCAACUCUACAGAUCUAUGAUUCUAUGACUAGAUGGGUCAUUGGCCUAAUCUAGCAAAUUCUUCUUACAUUUGUUAAGUGAUAUGCAGUAUCGUGCUUUGCACAGACCUGGUCAACCUGUGGGUCGUCGCCCCCCCCCCAUGUUGUUGGAGUACAACUCCCAUCAUCCCUGAGCUCUGGCCUUGCUAGCUAGGGAUGAUGGGAGUUGUAGUCCAACAACAUCUGGGGGGACCCACAGGUUGAGAACCUUGCCAAUUAAGGAAUUUGAUCCUUGGCUUUCUUAAGUGAUGAAUCGGUUACUUUCUAAUAACCCUGAAAAGCCUCACUAUAGGUUCCUUUGCUUGAUUAAAUAUUGUUGUUGCUCCUAUACAGGGCAUAGCUGUCAACUUUUCCCUUUUCUAAAAAAGGGAAAUUCCCUUAUUCCGAAUAGGAUUCCUCGCAAGGAAAGGGAAAAGUUGACAGCUAUGAUACAGGGACGUCUUACCCACAGAGAUUAGUGGCGCAAGGGCGCCAGAUUUUGGAGGGCGCCGCAGGCUGAGUGUCCGGGAAGGAGAGUCAGGGCGCGCUCUCUUCCUGGCUCCCCUCCUCUCCGCCGCCCAUCGGAGCGCGCUGCGUCCGGCUCAGGGAAGCACCUUCACAUCCUCUCCCUCCGGGGCUGCCUGGGCACCUGGAGGGCGCAAUCGGGGCGGGCGCAAGGCCACCUCGCCGCCUGCCGCCCCCCUGCGGAGUCUGCCAGAGGAGCAGGGAAGCACCCAGUGCGAUCCCGGAGCCGAGUGAGGAUGGCACAGCUGGCGAGCCACCUGAUCUUGCUGGUACUCCUGUCGCGCGGAGUUCCCCCCGACGGGGACAGGUAAGGGGCGCCGGGCGCUUAGAGGGCGCGGGAGGGCGCCUGGGCUGCGAUCCGGGAGCCUCUUACUUAGGUGCAGCGCCGAGCCCGGGAUGUAAACGAGCUGGACCGAAGCCCCCACGCCUCCGGUUAAUAAACGGUGCUGGCUGUUAAUCAUCAUCAUCAACAACAAAAGGUAUCCAUUCUUUAAGAAUAUUUCUCUUUCGCUAUUCCUUACAUUAACACACGAGAAACAAAAGACUGCUCCGUUCCUGGCUUCAGCUGGUUGUUAAUCAACAAAAAAUUGAGUUGAUUAAUCUGUUAAAAAAAAAACAAACCCCAGACCAUUUGAAAAAAGCGAUUAUAUUAGAGAUCUCUGGUUGCGUGUCUACAUUUCCUCCUUUAUCUCCUACCUAAAGGUAAAGGUAAAGGGACCCCUGACCAUUAGGUCCAGUCGUGGCCGACUCUGGGGUUGCGUCGCUCAUCUCACUUUAUUGGCCAAGGGAGCCGGCAUACAGCUUCCGGGUCAUGUGGCCAGCAUGACUAAGCCGCUUCUGGCGAAUCAGAGCAGCGCACGGAAACGCCAUUUACCUUCCCGCCAGAGCGUUACUAUUGAUCUACUCGCACUUUGACGUGCUUUUGAACUGCUAGGUUGGCAGGAGCAGGGACCGAACAACAGGAGCUCACCCCAUCGCGGGGAUUCGAACCGCCGACCUUCUGAUCGGCAAGCCCUAGGCUCUGUGGUUUAGACCCCCUCCACCCGCGUCCCUAUCUCCUACCCAACUUGUUCGCAAAUUAUGUCUCUUUGGUGUAGCCUGAAGCAUUUAGCAUGCGGGGGUGUCAGUCGGGUGUUCAGAAGCGCAUCUGUCUCCUGGUGCGUGUUGAGUUUCUGCUCAGUGGCAAACCCAGGUUUGUCACAGUGCAAUGCGAGAAAUUAAGGUCGGGGGACACAUUCCUGUGCGCGCAAACCCCUUGACGGCUGCAUUCUAACGGGAGAUGGUGGUGUGACUCUUGCCUUUGUUCUGUUGGCUGAAUUCUGGCCACACACGAGUUUCUACGGCUACACACAGGCACACAACUGACGGUCCACUUUUCCAUUUUCCCAAAUUGGAAAAGUGGUAUAAUACCGACAAAAGUGGCUUGCCAAAUUAUUGGAGUAUUACAAUAUAUCCAAAACAAUGGGAGAAAUUGGAAGGAUCUCAAAAGAGAAAAUAGACAAGGACUGGAAGGUGUUUAAAGGAUACUUGCAAAAUCAUAGUGAAAAAUCAGAACUCCUGUUAGAAUAAAUAAGUUCUGUUAUAAAUAAUGAAAUACUAAAUAAGAUGGAUAACAAUGUGUAACAGAAAAAGAAGUAGAAAGUUGGUUUAAAAGUGUGUGAAAGAAAGUAAUAGAAGGGGAAAGAAAUUGCAACUGAGUAGAUUGAAAGUCUAACACAAGGGUGGGGUGAGGGGUGGUGGUGGGAAAAGGAAGUAUGUGUGGGAUUGAGUGUGGGUAUGUAUGAAUAUUUUUAAGGAUUGUAUGAAAUGUAUGUUUGUCUGUAUAUUUGUAAUAUGUAUGUAUUAAUGUUGAAUUAUUAUAUUAAAAUAAAAAAAUUUAAAUUACAAAAAACAACUCACAGUCCAGUUUGGGAAGAGGCACAGCCACACCUUCCAGGCAGGUAACAGCACACAAGAAUGGCGCAGAGAGACGAGGGCUGAGGAGAGGCACACCUGAGGAGAAAGGAUGUGGUUUAGGACUUCCAGACCUCCGGGUCUGAAGUCUCCAGGUGGAGAAAGGGCUUGAAUCUCCAGGUGCACAAGAGCACCCUUAUCAAUAACUUCAAAAAAAUAUUAAGAAGUUGGCUGCACAUCACAGCAAAGACACUCUGAGCAAGGCUGGUCUGCCCUCCCAAUUAACCUCCGUCUCCAGGGCUCAACAGUUUUACUUUCUGAAAUAUGGCAACCCGAUAGCAAAACCUAGACGCAUCUUAAAAAGUAGAGACAUCGCCUUGCCGACAAAGGUCCGUAUAGUUAAAGCUCUGGUUUUCCCAGUAGUGAUGUAUGGAAGUGAGAGCUGGACUAUAAAGAAGGCUGAUCGCCGAAGAAUGGAUGCUUUUGAAUUCUGGUGCUGGAGGAGACUCUGGAGAGUCCCAUGGACUGCAAGAAGAUCAAACCUCUUCAUUCGGAAGGAAAUCAGCCAUGAGUGCUCAGUGGAAGGACAGAUCCCGAAGCUGAGGCUCUGAGACUUUGGCCACCUCAUGAGAAGAGAAGACUCCCUGGAAAAGACCCUGAUGUUGGGAAAGAUGGAGGGCACAAUGAGAAGGGGACGACACAGGACGAGAUGGUGGGACAGUGUUCUCGAAGGUACCAGCAUGAGUCUGACCAAACUGCGGGAGGCAGUGGAAGACAGGAGGGCCUGGCGUGCUCUGGUCCAGGGGGUCACGAAGAGGCGGACACCACUAAACAACAACAACUCCAGGGCCCAUCUUGUAACAUUGCCAGAGUCCACCCUAAUUUUGCGCCCCAUAAAUUUGGGGCCUGAGAUGCUCCUUGCGAGCUUUGGGGUUCCCCCAUCAUUCCCAUCUCCAUCUUUGGGUCCUUGGAGAUUUCCCCGGUCUCUCCCACCCAUCCUUGUACUUUUCCGGACGGAAACUGGCACCGCUUCAGCCGAACACUCUUGUUUGCCGGCGCCUCUCCAUGGAUCUCCUCCAGCAGCUCAGAGGCUUCCGUUCGCAGCCUGGCAGCGGCUCCCAAGUGGCCAUGUGUACCAGCAGAGCCGGUGGGUGGGAGGCAAGAAGUGCCCCCCUGCUGGCGCCAACCGCUUCCCAUCCACUGCCCGCCCCCCCCACUGCAAAACCUCAAGCUCUUUGUCAAAGUGCAAGGAACACUUUUAAUUGCAACAUGCACCCUCCGUUUAUUGAAUUGAGGCAUUCCCACGCUGCUCUGUGUACAACCUGGGGGCUGCUUACAAUGAGAAGAGAAACCAAUUUAAAAUAUGCACAUUAUUAUUAUUAUUAUUAUUUUAUUUAUACCCCGCCCUUUCCCGGUUCAAAAACCGGGCUCAGGGUGGCUAACAACAAAUUUAAAACACUUAAUUAUAAAAGCAGCAUAAAAUACAGUAUAAAAACAUGUUGUUGUUGUUGUUUAGCUGUGUCUGCCUCUUUGUGACCCCCUGGACCAGAGCACGCCAGGCCCUCCUGUCUUCCACUGCCUCCCGCAGUUGGUGGCCUCUCCUUCCUUGGAGGUUUUGAAGCAGAAGUCGGAUGGCCAUCUGUCAUGGAUGCUUGAGUUGAGACUCCUGCAUUGCAGCGGGUUGGUCUAGAUGACCCUCAGGGUCUCAACUCUGAUUCUAAGUUAUGGUUACCAGAUAUAUUUUUUUUCAACGAAUCCGGGGACAUUUUUUUCCUUCUUCUUUUUUAAUCUGAGUAGCAGCAGGGAGUCAGUAGUGGGGAUGGUGAGACAAAAGACCCUGGGCCCAAGCACACAUGCAUAUUGUAUAAAGGUGCAAAGCCCUUCUUCUGCACCCUGUGAAACAAAUGCGCAGAGACUGGGCAAUGGUGCGCCCCGCGCCUGUGACUCCCAAGCCUUCCCCAAUCUCUUGCCCCCUUCCCCUUCUGGUAGCGCAGUUGGCUCUUGCUGGCUUCAGGAGCUGCUCGCUGCCGUGGUGCAGGAAAAAUGGUGGGUGCCAUGGCAGCGGGCAGCGAACAGCUCCUAUAACUAGCCAGAGCCAACUGUGCCACCAGGCUGGCUCCAGGUUGCUGAGGCUGCCGCUGCCACGUUUCCCGGGGACAGAUUUGCAAAUCUGGGGACAUUCCGGGGACGGAAUUUGUCCAGGGACAGAUUUGCAAAUCCGGGGACUGUCCCCGGGAACCAGGGACGUCUGGUAACCCUAUUCUAAGUUCCAAACGCAACAACCUUUUCGCACAGGGAAGUGGGUCGUUCUGGUUCCCUUUUCCAACUCUACAAUAUCCAUUUUGAGGCAAGGCGACCAGAAUGCUACAUAGUGUUCCAGAUGCGCUAUAGAUUUGCAUAAUGGCCUUAUUAUGAUAACAGCAGUUUUAUAUUCAUUUCCUUUCAUAACGAUCCCUAGCAUGGAAUCUGCCCUUUUCACAGCCUCCACACGCACAUCUACCCUUUUCAUUCGGUUGAGUGUGUGCAUGAGUGUUUUUAACCCGAGCCCUGGGUUCAAAUCCCUGUCCAGCCCUUGAAUGUCCUGGGUCUCUGCCGUCUGUCAAGCUGGCCUACCUUGCAAGGUUGUGAUGACGUUAUCUGGGGUGGGGUGGGGAGACUCUGCCCCCCGCUCUUCAGGGAGAGGUCUGGAUAGGAAUAUAACUGAAACUAGCUUAGGUGGGAUUGCUCAGUGGGCAGAGCAUGAAGCUCUUAAUCUCAGAGUUGUGGGAAAGAUUCCUACAUUGCAGGGGGUUGGACUAAAUGACCCUCGGGGUCCCUCCCAAUUCUGUGAAACAAAGUGGGCCUGGCGGACCGUUUCCUGCUCGCUUACAAUUUUCAGCGGGAACAACGUGUGCCACGAAACCAUCGCCAGCGCUUCUCCCUUCUCCCCCGAGAGCUGAUUCAAUUAAUGCCUGUUUGUUCCGUCUCCAGCUAUCUUUGAAAUAAAAAAUUUCUGUUUGCUUUAGCUGGCGUGGAGGGACAGGAGGAUCCAGGGUGCCAGAAUCCGUCCCCCCGGAGAAAGAUGGGGUGUGCCUUAUCUGGACCAGGCGUCACACCGGAGCCAACUUUUGACGUGCAAAAGAGAGGGUCGUUUGUGGAAGGCGGGCUGGACUGGAGCAAGGAGACUGAGUGCGGGGAAAACCCUGAGCGGCUCUCCCUUUCAGAGUCUCAGAAGGCCCUGAUCCGAGAGUCCUGGAAAAUCCUGCACAAAGACAUUGCAAGGGUCGGGGUCAUAGUCUUCAUCAGGUAAGGGCCGGCUGUGUGUGUGUGUGUGUGUGUGUGUGUGUGUGUGUGUGGCACGGAGGGUUUCCUUUCGAAUUUAUUAUUUCGGUCACAGACCAGUUC